rnacentral:rRNA from 1 species
CAUGCAAGUCGAGCGAAGCACUCUGCUUUGAUUCUUUCGGGAUGAAGAGCAUUGUGACUGAGCGGCGGACGGGUGAGUAACGCGUGGGUAACCUGCCUCAUACAGGGGGAUAACAGUUAGAAAUGGCUGCUAAUACCGCAUAAGACCACAGCACCGCAUGGUGCAGGGGUAAAAACUCCGGUGGUAUGAGAUGGACCCGCGUCUGAUUAGCUAGUUGGUGGGGUAACGGCCUACCAAGGCGACGAUCAGUAGCCGACCUGAGAGGGUGACCGGCCACAUUGGGACUGAGACACGGCCCAAACUCCUACGGGAGGCAGCAGUGGGGAAUAUUGCACAAUGGGGGAAACCCUGAUGCAGCGACGCCGCGUGAGCGAAGAAGUAUUUCGGUAUGUAAAGCUCUAUCAGCAGGGAAGAAAAUGACGGUACCUGACUAAGAAGCCCCGGCUAACUACGUGCCAGCAGCCGCGGUAAUACGUAGGGGGCAAGCGUUAUCCGGAUUUACUGGGUGUAAAGGGAGCGUAGACGGCGAGGCAAGUCUGAUGUGAAAACCCGGGGCUCAACCCCGUGACUGCAUUGGAAACUGUUUUGCUUGAGUGCCGGAGAGGUAAGCGGAAUUCCUAGUGUAGCGG